rnacentral:rRNA from 1 species
UACGUAGGCAGCAAGCGUUGUUCGGAGUUACUGGGCGUAAAGAGUGCGUAGGCGGUGCUCUAAGUUUGGUGUGAAAUCUCCCGGCUUAACUGGGAGGGUGCGCCGAAAACUGGAGUGCUUGAGUAUGGGAGAGGCAAGCGGAAUUCCUGGUGUAGCGGUGAAAUGCGUAGAUAUCAGGAGGAACACCUGUGGUGUAGACAGCUUACUGGACCAUUUCUGACGCUGAGACACGAAAGCGUGGGUAGCAAACAGG